AGUGAACGCUGGCGGUAGGCCUAACACAUGCAAGUCGAACGGCAGCACAGGAGAGCUUGCUCUCUGGGUGGCGAGUGGCGGACGGGUGAGGAAUACAUCGGAAUCUACUCUGUCGUGGGGGAUAACGUAGGGAAACUUACGCUAAUACCGCAUACGACCUACGGGUGAAAGCAGGGGACCUUCGGGCCUUGCGCGAUUGAAUGAGCCGAUGUCGGAUUAGCUAGUUGGCGGGGUAAAGGCCCACCAAGGCGACGAUCCGUAGCUGGUCUGAGAGGAUGAUCAGCCACACUGGAACUGAGACACGGUCCAGACUCCUACGGGAGGCAGCAGUGGGGAAUAUUGGACAAUGGGCGCAAGCCUGACCCAGCCAUACCGCGUGGGUGAGGAAGGCCUUCGGGUUGUAAAGCCCUUUUGUUGGGAAAGAAAUCCAGCUGGCUAAUACCCGGUUGGGAUGACGGUACCCAAAGAAUAAGCACCGGCUAACUUCGUGCCAGCAGCCGCAGUAA
rnacentral:rRNA from 1 species